UACAGAGGUCUCAAGCGUUGUUCGGAUUCAUUGGGCGUAAAGGGUGCGUAGGCGGCGCGGUAAGUCAGGUGUGAAAUCUCGGGGCUUAACUCCGAAACUGCAUUUGAUACUGCGGUGCUUGAGGACUGGAGAGGAGACUGGAAUUUACGGUGUAGCGGUGAAAUGCGUAGAUAUCGUAAGGAAGACCAGUGGCGAAGGCGGGUCUCUGGACAGUUCCUGACGCUGAGGCACGAAGGUCAGGGGAGCAAACGGG
rnacentral:rRNA from 1 species